CCGCGGCCGCCCGCGAAGCGGGGGCGUGCUCCCAGGCUUAGAAAGGGUCCAGAGGGUUUGAGCCAGAGUGUAUUCGCGCAUCCGGCGGUUGCUUAACCUGCCACCUGCUGGACGGCGACUUUCUGCGAAGCCAGCGUGUCUGCGAGCAGCAUUCGCUAAGGCUCUGAGUUUAACAGAGACUCGGCCGGGCGCGGUGGCUCAAGCCUGUAAUCCCAGCACUUUGGGAGGCCGAGGCAGGUGGAUCACGAGGUCAAGAGAUGGAGACCAUCCUGGUCAACAUGGUGAAACCCCGUCUCUACUAAAAAUACAAAAAAUUAGCUGGGCACGGGUGGCGCGUGCCUGUAAUCCCAGCUACUCAGGAGGCUGAGGCAGGAGAAUUGCCUGAACCCAGGAGGCGGAGGUUGCGGUGAGCCGAGAUCGCGCCAUUGCACUCCAGCCUGGGUAACGAGUGAAACUCCGUCUCAAAAACAAAACAAAACAAAACAAACAAACAAAAAAAACCCAGAGACUCAAUUUGGGAAGGCGCUUAUCACAAAAAGUCCCUGCCCUUCUCGCGGGCUCCGGACACAACCCUGACAAAUCGAGCAGCCUUCUUGAGAGUGCAGGAAUGCUCCAUGUACCCUGCAAAGAAAAUCUCUUUUUCUCACCACUCUGUGCAAACCCUUACUCUGUGGCUCUGUGUCUGUACUGUAGCCGAAACACAGAAGCUCAUGGCCACCCUCACCCCUCACCCCAACCCCUAACCACCCCCAUCUCCCUUUCAGUUCUAGGGUGAGCUCACACUCCUCCCGCAUAUCUGAACGAGUGACGUGACACAAGAGGUCCCAAGGGAGCAAACCUGAAAGCCAGCGCCUCUUGGUUACACAGCCUGCCAGGGAGCCAGAUGACAUUAGACACUCAGGAGAUAUAAGAAGCAUCACUUCCUUCAGAUAGAGUCGAGAUGGAGUCUUGCUAUGUUACCCGGGCUGGAGUGCAAUGGCUAUUCACAGGCAUCAUCCUGCCACUGAUCAGCAUGGGAAUUUUGACCUGCUCUUUUCUACCUGGGCUGGUUCACUCCUCCAAGAGUACCCCACCCCUAGGAGGUCACCCUAAUGAUGCCAAACUUAGUGCCAACACCCAAGCAGCAGAGCAACCUACAACCCAGAAUUCCUGGGCUCAAGCACUUUCCCUUCCUCGGAUUCCUGAGUACCUGGUAUUCUUCCAGUUCUGAACAUAGUAUAUCUCCCCAUUUAUUUAUAGUUAGAUCUUCUUUGAUUUCUUUCAUUAAUGUUUUGUAGUUUUCAACAUACACAUCCUAUUCAUGUUUUGUUAAAUUCAUACCUUAUUUAUUAGGUGCAUAUACUUGUUAAUUGAGAAAUAAGAAAAAAAAAUGUACCUUAGUACUUCAGUAUUUUUGGAGUUAUCAUAAGUGGUAUUGUUUAAAAAUACUAGUUUCCAGUUAUUCAUUGGUGGUAUAUGGAUGUAAAAUUUUGUGUGUGUGUUUACCUUUUGUACAGUGACCCUACUAAACUCAGUUCUAGGAGUUUUUAAAAAAUCACUUCUUUGGUUUUCUAUGUAAACAAUCAUGUCAUCUGCAAAUAGAGACAUUUUUAUUUCUUCCUUCCCUGUCUAUAAGUCUGUUAUCUUCUUUCCUUAUUACACUGAAUAAAAUUCUAAUAUAAUGUCAAAUAGCAAUGGUGACUGAAGACAUUCUUACCUUGUUCCUGACCCUAAGGGGUAGUAUUCAAUCUUUCACCACAUGUAAUAUGAUAUUAGAUGUUGGCUUUUUGUUGUACCUGACCUUUAUGAGGUUGUGGAAAUCCCCUUCUACUCUCAUCUACUGAGAAUUUUUUUUUAAACCUGAAUGAAUGUUGAAGUCUGUCAAAUACUUUUACUUUUUUUUUUUUUUUUUUGAGAUGGAGUUUCGCUCUGUCACCCAGGCUAGAGUGCAAUGGCUCGAUCUUGGCUCAUUGCAACUUCCACCUCCCAGGUACAAGCUAUUCUCCUUCUUCACCUACCCAAGCAGCUGGGUCUACAGCCAUGUGCCACCACGCCUGGCUAGUUUUGGUAUUUUUAGUAGAGACAGGGUUUCACCAUGUUGUCCAGGCUGUUCUCAAACUCCUGACCUGAGGUAUCUACCCACUUUAGUCUCCUAAAGUGCUGGGAUUACAGGUGUGAGCCACUAAGCCCAGCCUGUUAUACUUUUUCUGCAUCAAGUGACAUGAUUAUGUAGCUUUUCCUUUCUAUUCUAGUAAUAUGGUGGAUUACAUUGACUGAUCUUUUGAAUAUUGAUCUUUGCAUUUUCAAGAUAAAUCUCAUUUUGGCAUGGUGUAUCUUUUUUAUAUACUGCUGGAUUCAAUGUGUUAAUAUUUUGUUGAAGAUUUUUGUGUCAAUGUCCAAGACAGAUAUUGGCCUAUAGUUUUUUCUUGUCCUGUCUUUGGCUUUAGUAUCAGAAUAAUGCUGGUUUUAUAAAAAUAAAUUGGUAAGUGUUCCCUCCUCUUCCAUUUUCUGGAAAGAAUUUGUGUAGAAUUGGUAUUAAUUCAUCUUUAAAUGUUUGAGAGAAUUUGAUAGUGUAACCAUCUGGGCUUGGAAAAUUUUUUUGAAAGGUUUUAAACUAUGAAUUCAAUUUCUUUAUAGGUAUAGGAUUCUUCAGGUUAUUAAAUUUUUCUUAUGUGAGCUUUGUUGAUUUGCUUUUGAGGAAUUAUUCUAUUUCACAAAGGUUGUCAUAUUUAUGUGUGUUUAGUAGUUCAUAGUAUUUUCUUAUUUUUAGAAUACCAUUGCAUUUGUAGUGAUAUCUUCUCUUUCAUUCCUGAUAUAGUUAAGUUGUGCCUUUUCUUUGUAAUCUUGCAAGAGAUUUGUGAAUUUUAUUGGUCUCAAAGAACCAGUUUUUUGUUUCAUUAAGUUUUCUCUAUUGAUUUUCUGUUUUCAAUUUCAUUCAUUUUUGCUUCUAGCUUUUAAAAUUUUUUUCCUUCUGCUUGAUUUGGAUUUAUUAUGAUUUACUUUUUAGUUUC